ensembl:snoRNA SNORD15 Small nucleolar RNA SNORD15
CUUCGGUGAUGAUGACUGAUGACGAGUCUGAUGGGGCACUUUCUGUAUCAGGUUUCCUAGGACAGGUUGUACGUUCUGUGCACCUGGAUUCAGACUCCUGGACAGAGUGUCUUUCCAUUGACGAAUCUGAGGCAUUUAUCUGAGAAGG